CUAUGCUCCAGUGUGCCAAGAACAUAUAUGCUGCACAAACUGGGCUUAAUGGAUUGAAAAAAAAAAAGAGGAUGCAAAAUCUGGUCAUGGUGAUGAAUACACGUAAACUCAUGGAUCAUAGCAGGCUGAUGAGAUGAAGAACAGCCCUCAUGGACAGGACUGCGCUGCUGCCAAAGAAGAUCAAGCUCACUCCCAAAGGACUACU
rnacentral:lncRNA from 1 species